rnacentral:lncRNA from 1 species
GGGGUUGGAAGGGGCGUCCCGAGCCGAGCUGAGCCCAGCGGGUCCUUAGAGCCCGCCCCGUCCAGCGGGUUCGGCCGGGCCGGGCUGCGAGAGAGCGGGAAAGGGGGCGCUGAUUUAAAUGUGUGCCGAGGAUUGGAUGAGCGUGGUGUGAUGUCACUUCCCAAAGGGGGCGAUUACCAUGCGAGGGGAGUAGAAGUUGGGCAGCGGGGCGGGAGCGCGAGAUGCUGCCGGGUCGGUACCGCCACGGGCUCGGCUCGGCUCGGACGUUCCGCCUCCUCCUCGCAGCUCCGCUCCGUCUCCGCUCCGUAUAUUCAUCUUUUAUUUUUUUUCUCUUUUUUUUUCUGUGUCUCCGUGGUUCCCGGUGGCAGAUCCCGACCGUUCUGCCCCGGCUGUGCUCCUUCACCCCAUCGCCCGACUGACGGCAGCCCCCGCCGGAGGGAUGUUUCUGUCUUUGGUUAUCUAGCUGUAUGAGUGUUUUGGUCUUCAUAAAGCUAGAUAACCGAAAGUAAAAAUGACUUCCAGACCUGCACGCCCGGGGGAAGAGGCUGCAGCAGCACCGGCGGCCCCGCGGCCCGCACAGCCCCGCCCGCCGCCCUCCGUCCGUCACCUCGGGGCUCCAGAGCUGACUGCGAGUUCAUGGAGCAGGAUGCCUUGGGAAGGGAUGGGACAUCUCCACCUGAGUGAGGAGAGGUCCCUGGAGCAGAAUGGAGGUGUAAUGCUGAGGAGCUGCAAGAGAGAGCGCAGCUUUGGUCACUUUGGAGUUGGAGAUCUUGAGCCAGGGAUGAGAUCCCAGAGAGAAAAGAGACGUCCCCAGCCCAGCAGCUCCUUCCUGGCUGUGCUCUGCUCACACUGUGCCUGAUAUCUCCAGGAUUCUCCAGGAGGGACCCAACCUGUCACAGCCCCAGCAAGAGGCAGCAUCGGCUGCUGGACGUGGAGGGGUUCUGCAUUGCAUCACACCUGUGGGAGGGAGCCAGGAGAUGGGGAGGCUGACAGAAAUCCCAUGUAACUCCUGUUUAUCACCUCCAGGACCCAAAUACCACUGGGCAGAGAUGUGUGAGCACUGUCCCGGCUGGGUCUGGGGGUGUUGUUGGGAGCGGGAGGGAGGUCUGAGCGGGAUGGAUGCCAUGCUUAGGGACUCUGCUCAUGGAGCAGAGCUUGGCCUACACUGUCCGUGCUGUGUGUGAUGGACUGACCAUGGGCUGACCAUGCCUGAUCCAGGCAGUGUUCCAUUGCACUGUACAAAUAAUGCACUGUAAUUCUCCCCUAUUAAAAUCAACCCCACCCCAUGCACUGUUACAAAUAAACACUCCUUUCUGCAAAAGCCA